rnacentral:Y_RNA from 1 species
GGUUGGUCCAAGUGCAGUGGUGCUUACAACAAGUUGAUCAUAACAAGUUUGAGAUUUCUUUGUUCCUUCUUCACUCCCACUGCUUAACUUGACCAGACUUAA